GACUUUGUGAAGAGACAUGAGAGGUGUAGGAUAAGUGGGAGGUCCUCGGGCCGACGGUGAAAUACCACUACUCCCAUCGUUUUUUUACUUAUUCAGUAAAGCGGGGAGCGACCCUCGGGUCCCGUUUCUAGCCUUAAGCUCUCGGGCGCCGCGCGAUCCGCUCUGAAGACCUAUUC
rnacentral:ncRNA from 1 species